AGCAGAGUGAGCUGGGAGGGGGUAAGAUGUGACUGGCAGAGCCAAGACCGUGGGAAAGGGAGGGCUGCGCACAGCGCAGCGGGCAACAGGAGGCCAAGGGAGAAGGCGGUCACAGCCUGGAAAAGAGAUUCUGAAAUGCCCUGCUGGGCAAAGAAGAGUCCAGAAAUCCUAUUUUCAUUCAUUUGUGGGGAAUUUGGACCCCAAGAGGCCAUAGCCAGAAGUCCAAGCUAAGAUGUCUAUUUGGAGACGCAGUUCCUCCAAGGAUCUCCCAAGAGCGUCAGGGGAAAGAAAAGAAACAGCUCCAAUUUUCGAAGCAGACUGUAACUUACUAAGCCUUCUCUCACCUCUCUGGUCUGGAGAACUGACUGAGGCCUGGUGUGGAAGAUCAUCUCCAUUGUAUUAAGGAGCCCACUGAGGCUCUGGACUCUGUGACUCACCCCAGGUCUCGCGGAAGGGCCAGGGGUUCACCCUCACUCCCUCACUCCUGCGUUGCUGUGAAGCCGCUCUCACCUGCCUGCACAGGCACAGUGGGGCCUGGCACAAGGGACACUCUCAUUGACAGUAAGUUACAGCACUGAGAGGCUGUCUGUAGGCAGAGUGCAAUUCUGGGGGCCCCCGAAGGAGCCCAAGUUGGGCCUCUGGGGCUCAGAGAACUGAGGGACAGCUGGCAGGCCAUGUGAGGGAGGGGGCCCAAGGUGGGAGGGCAAAGCCACAGGGCAGGGUAGCUUGGAGGUCCCCUCUCCAGCAGCCACAUACAAUUUCUCCCUUUCCCUUUCACAUAGGCAUGGCCUUGCCCAGGUGGGCACAUGUGACACCUCAGCCAUGCCAGGUCUUAGAAGGAUGGUGGCAUUAGGGCCUCUGGAACCUGUCUGGCCUCAUCAGCACAGUAGACUGGAGGGAAGGUCCUAGCACCAGCUGCUCCCUUCUCAGUCUCUUCUAGGGAAGGGAAAGGAGAAUUUGGCUGUGCCCCAUCCCCACAUCAUGGGGCCCUUCGGGCAAGAGGGGCUGGCUGAAAGCUGUUCCCUGUAUGAACAUUCAGAGACCUAAGGAAAUGUGUGCCCUGUACCUCCCCAUGCAGCCUCUCCCCAAGAGCACAUCCUGCUGGCACUCAGAAAGGGGGCUCCUGCAUGUGGGGCACAGGCUCCCGCCUCCCUACUCUGUCCCUAAGGCUGCUGCCUUUAUCGGGAAGGGAGGCCUCCUGGCCACCCAGGGGGUGUCCGAUGGAAGGGCAGCAUGGAGAAGAG
rnacentral:lncRNA from 1 species